UUUUAUUCAAGUGGAAAGGGGUUUUAGGAACUCUCUGAGUUAAAUUAAAAUAAGUUUACUGAUAUGAUACCAAAAACCAAUGAUACAACAUCUGUAUAUAUCUAAAAGUAACCUCUUGAAUUAAAUAAUGUCUCCAACUCAUCUCCCAGCAGUGUAUCCUCAUACUUUUCGCAGUGUUUUUCCUUUUUAUUCUAAGUACAAAAUAUCUUCGUUCCUUCUAAAUGCCUGGUUUUUAAAAGGGAAAGCAUUUUUUAACAAAAAUGAAUAUAACCGAAGAAAUCCUAUCCCCGACUUGUAUUUUAAAAAAUAAUUAAUUUCAUUGUGUCUGUUAUAUAAUUUUCUACCAUAUAAACAAAAUAACAAGAAGAGCAAAUGCACUUUAGAAGCUAAAGUCAACAUCACUAUUUGAGACAAUACAGAAGUAUAUGUAUCUUUCUAAAUAUAAAUAAUCUCAACACCCCCCCC
rnacentral:lncRNA from 1 species